CGGAUUGUAGUCUGCAACCCGACUACAUGAAGCUGGAAUCGCUAGUAAUCGCGGAUCAGAAUGCCGCGGUGAAUACGUUCCCGGGUCUUGUACACACCGCCCGUCACACCAUGGGAGUCGGAAGUGCCCGAAGUCUGUGACCUAACCGUAAGGGAGGAGCAGCCGAAGGCAGGUCGGAUGACUGGGGUGAAGUCGUAACAAGGUAUC
rnacentral:rRNA from 1 species